rnacentral:rRNA from 1 species
GAUGAACGCUGGCGGCGUGCCUAAUACAUGCAAGUAGAACGCUGAAGGAAGGAGCUUGCUCUUUCCGGAUGAGUUGCGAACGGGUGAGUAACGCGUAGGUAACCUGCCUGGUAGCGGGGGAUAACUAUUGGAAACGAUAGCUAAUACCGCAUAACAGUAGAUGUUGCAUGAUAUCUACUUAAAAGGUGCAAUUGCACCACUACCAGAUGGACCUGCGUUGUAUUAGCUAGUUGGUGAGGUAACGGCUCACCAAGGCGACGAUACAUAGCCGACCUGAGAGGGUGAUCGGCCACACUGGGACUGAGACACGGCCCAGACUCCUACGGGAGGCAGCAGUAGGGAAUCUUCGGCAAUGGACGGAAGUCUGACCGAGCAACGCCGCGUGAGUGAAGAAGGUUUUCGGAUCGUAAAGCUCUGUUGUAAGAGAAGAACGAGUGUGAGAGUGGAAAGUUCACACUGUGACGGUAUCUUACCGGAAAGGGACGGCUAACUACGUG